rnacentral:rRNA from 1 species
CAGCAGUAGGGAUCUUCCGCAAUGGACGAAAGUCUGACGGAGCAACGCCGCGUGAGUGAUGAAGGUUUUCGGAUCGUAAAACUCUGUUAUUAGGGAAGAACAAAUGUGUAAGUAACUGUGCACAUCUUGACGGUACCUAAUCAGAAAGCCACGGCUAACUACGUGCCAGCAGCCGCGGUAAUACGUAGGUGGCAAGCGUUAUCCGGAAUUAUUGGGCGUAAAGCGCGCGUAGGCGGUUUCUUAAGUCUGAUGUGAAAGCCCACGGCUCAACCGUGGAGGGUCAUUGGAAACUGGGAAACUUGAGUACAGAAGAGGAAAGUGGAAUUCCAUGUGUAGCGGUGAAAUGCGCAGAGAUAUGGAGGAACACCAGUGGCGAAGGCGACUUUCUGGUCUGUAACUGACGCUGAUGUGCGAAAGCGUGGGGAUCAAACAGGAUUAGAUACCCUGGUAGUCCACGCCGUAAACGAUGAGUGCUAAGUGUUAGGGGGUUUCCGCCCCUUAGUGCUGCAGCUAACGCAUUAAGCACUCCGCCUGGGGAGUACGACCGCAAGGUUGAAACUCAAAGGAAUUGACGGGGCCCC